GACAGAGGGUGCAAACGUUGCUCGGAAUUACUGGGCGUAAAGCGCAUGUAGGCGGACGGGAAAGUCAGAUGUGAAAUCCCUGGGCUCAACCUAGGAACUGCAUUUGAAACUUCCCGUCUUGAGUAUUGAAGAGGAUUGCGGAAUUCCUGGUGUAGAGGUGAAAUUCGUAGAUAUCAGGAGGAACACCGGUGGCGAAGGCGGCAAUCUGGGCAAUUACUGACGCUGAGAUGCGAAAGCGUGGGGAGCAAACAGG
rnacentral:rRNA from 1 species